AGAUGCUAACAGACAGACAAGGCGGAGAUGAGUAGCCGAGACGCGCACAGACAGACAAGGUGGAGAUGAGUGGCCGAGAUGCGCACGGACAGACAAGGCGAAGAUGAGUGGCCGAGACGCGCACGGACAGACAAGGUGGAGAUGAGGGGCCGAGAUGCAAACGAACAGACAAGGUGGAGAUGAGGGGCCGAGAUGCUAACAGACAGACAAGGCGGAGAUGAGUGGCCGAGACGCUAACAGACAGACAAGGCGGAGAUGAGUGUCCGAGACGCGCACGGACAGACAAGGCGAAGAUGAGUGGCCAAGACGCGCACGGACAGACAAGGUGGAGAUGAGGGGCCGAGAUGCUAACAGACAGACAAGGCGGAGAUGAGUGGCCGAGACGCUAACAGACAGACAAAGGCGGAGAUGAGUGUCCGAGACAGCGCACGGACAGACAAGGUGGAGAUGAGUGGCCGAGACGCUAACAGACAGACAAGGUGGAGAUGAGUGGCCGACACGCAGCGGACAGAGAAAGGCGGAGAUGAGUGGCCAAGACGCGCACGGACAGACAAGGCGAAGAUGAGUGGCCGAGAGCGCCACGGACAGACA
rnacentral:lncRNA from 1 species